rnacentral:rRNA from 1 species
AUGGCCGUACCAUGCUGAAUAUACCGGUUCUCGUUAGAUCACCGAAGUUAAGCAACAUUGGGCGCGGUCAGUACUUGGGUGGGUGACCACCUGGGAACACUGCGUGCCGUU